UCUGUAGGUGGUUUAAUAAGUCGACUGUUAAAUCUUGAGGCUCAACCUCAAAAUCGCAGUCGAAACUAUUAGACUAGAGUAUAGUAGGGGUAAAGGGAAUUUCCAGUGGAGCGGUGAAAUGCGUAGAUAUUGGAAGGAACACCGAUGGCGAAGGCACUUUACUGGGCUAUUACUAACACUCAGAGACGAAAGCUAGGGUAGCAAAUG
rnacentral:rRNA from 1 species